rnacentral:rRNA from 1 species
CAGCCGCCACGGGAAUACGUAGGGUGCAAGCGUUAAUCGGAAUUACUGGGCGUAAAGCGUGCGCAGGCGGUUAUAUAAGACAGUCGUGAAAUCCCCGGGCUCAACCUGGGAACUGCGAUUGUGACUGUAUGGCUAGAGUGUGUCAGAGGGGGGUAGAAUUCCACGUGUAGCAGUGAAAUGCGUAGAUAUGUGGAGGAAUACCGAUGGCGAAGGCAGCCCCCUGGGAUAACACUGACGCUCAUGCACGAAAGCGUGGGGAGCAAACAGGAUUAGAUACCCGGGUAGUCCCUGUCUCUUAUAC